rnacentral:rRNA from 1 species
AAUCCAUAGGUUAAUGAGGCGAACCGGGGGAACUGAAACAUCUAAGUACCCCGAGGAAAAGAAAUCAACCGAGAUUCCCCCAGUAGCGGCGAGCGAACGGGGAGGAGCCCAGAGCCUGAAUCAGCAUGUGUGUUAGUGGAAGCGUCUGGAAAGGCGCGCGAUACAGGGUGACAGCCCCGUACACAAAAGCGCAUGUGCUGUGAGCUCGAUGAGUAGGGCGGGACACGUGGUAUCCUGUCUGAAUAUGGGGGGACCAUCCUCCAAGGCUAAAUACUCCUGACUGACCGAUAGUGAACCAGUACCGUGAGGGAAAGGCGAAAAGAACCCCGGCGAGGGGAGUGAAAAAGAACCUGAAACCGUGUACGUACAAGCAGUGGGAGCCCCACCACCAAAGCAUUUGCUGUACCGCGUUGACGGAGCGAAGCGACGUCAAACCGAUAAAACAGCAGUGUAAAGUGAGCCGCAGGGCGCUUUGCGCGACAGCGCAAAGGCAGGCGGUUUCGCGUAGCGAAAGCGAAUGCUUUGGGGUGGGGUGACUGCGUACCUUUUGUAUAAUGGGUCAGCGACUUAUAUUCUGUAGCAAGGUUAACCGAAUAGGGGAGCCGGAGGGAAACCGAGUCUUAA